rnacentral:SRP_RNA from 1 species
GGAUGCUCCGCCGUGUUUACCGGGGGAACCGGCCCAGGCCCGGAAGGGAGCAGGCUUACCCCGGACGACCGGCGCUCUCGGGGGUGCGGGGAGGAGAGGCUUUGC